UACGUAGGUGACAAGCGUUGUCCGGAAUUACUGGGCGUAAAGCGCGCGUAGGCAGCAGCGUGUGUCGGGCGUGAAAUCCCACGGCUCAACCGUGGAAGUGCACUCGAAACUGCGCAGCUAGAGUCUCGGAGAGGAAGGCGGAAUGCUUGGUGUAGAGGUGAAAUUCGUAGAUAUCAAGCGGAACACCGGUGGCGAAGGCGGCCUUCUGGACGAUGACUGACGCUGAAGCGCGAAAGCGUGGGGAGCAAACAGG
rnacentral:rRNA from 1 species